AGGAUAUUCCAAAUAUUAUUUGAUGCUCAUUUCAAAAAGAGUUUAAUAUGAAACUUUUGUGUUAAAUUAUCCCCACAGUGCCUCCAGUUCUAUCUACCAGUCUGAGCUGCGAUGUGUCCUUGUGACGGUUAGAAACGAUGUGACUUCAACAACUGUUGUUGCAACGACCGUCCCUUCAACAACUACAAGUCUUCCUCCUAAAACAUCUGCAGCUUUGAAUGCAACAACCGUUAAUGCAACAACCAUUAAUGCAACAACCGUCCCUUUGACAACUACUAGUCCUCUCAACACAUGUAAGUAAGACAAUUUAUUUUUUAUUUAAUUGAUUUAUUUUUCAUCUUUGAUGUAUUAUACAUUUUUAUGUCCUGAAC